CCUACGGGAUGCAGCAGUGGGGAAUAUUGGACAAUGGGCGAAAGCCUGAUCCAGCCAUGCCGCGUGUGUGAAGAAGGCCUUCGGGUUGUAAAGCACUUUCAGUGGGGAAGAAAGCCUUGGGGCUAAUACCCUCGAGGAAGGACAUCACCCACAGAAGAAGCACCGGCUAACUCCGUGCCAGCAGCCGCGGUAAUACGGAGGGUGCGAGCGUUAAUCGGAAUUACUGGGCGUAAAGCGCGCGUAGGCGGUCUGAUAAGCCGGUUGUGAAAGCCCCGGGCUCAACCUGGGAACGGCAUCCGGAACUGUCAGGCUAGAGUGCAGGAGAGGAAGGUAGAAUUCCCGGUGUAGCGGUGAAAUGCGUAGAGAUCGGGAGGAAUACCAGUGGCGAAGGCGGUCUUCUGGACUGACACUGACGCUGAGGUGCGAAAGCGUGGGUAGCAAACAGGAUUAGAUACCCCAGUAGUC
rnacentral:rRNA from 1 species